GACGAACGCUGGCGGCGUGCCUAAUACAUGCAAGUAGAACGCUGAAGAGAGGAGCUUGCUCUUCUUGGAUGAGUUGCGAACGGGUGAGUAACGCGUAGGUAACCUGCCUUGUAGCGGGGGAUAACUAUUGGAAACGAUAGCUAAUACCGCAUAACAAUGGAUGACACAUGUCAUUUAUUUGAAAGGGGCAAUUGCUCCACUACAAGAUGGACCUGCGUUGUAUUAGCUAGUAGGUGAGGUAACGGCUCACCUAGGCGACGAUACAUAGCCGACCUGAGAGGGUGAUCGGCCACACUGGGACUGAGACACGGCCCAGACUCCUACGGGAGGCAGCAGUAGGGAAUCUUCGGCAAUGGGGGCAACCCUGACCGAGCAACGCCGCGUGAGUGAAGAAGGUUUUCGGAUCGUAAAGCUCUGUUGUAAGUCAAGAACGAGUGUGAGAGUGGAAAGUUCACACUGUGACGGUAGCUUACCAGAAAGGGACGGCUAACUACGUGCCAGCAGCCGCGGUAAUACGUAGGUCCCGAGCGUUGUCCGGAUUUAUUGGGCGUAAAGCGAGCGCAGGCGGUUUGAUAAGUCUGAAGUUAAAGGCUGUGGCUCAACCAUAGUUCGCUUUGGAAACUGUCAAACUUGAGUGCAGAAGGGGAGAGUGGAAUUCCAUGUGUAGCGGUGAAAUGCGUAGACAUAUGGAGGAACACCGGUGGCGAAAGCGGCUCUCUGGUCUGUAACUGACGCUGAGGCUCGAAAGCGUGGGGAGCGAACAGGAUUAGAUACCCUGGUAGUCCACGCCGUAAACGAUGAGUGCUAGGUGUUGGAUCCUUUCCGGGAUUCAGUGCCGCAGCUAACGCAUUAAGCACUCCGCCUGGGGAGUACGACCGCAAGGUUGAAACUCAAAGGAAUUGACGGGGGCCCGCACAAGCGGUGGAGCAUGUGGUUUAAUUCGAAGCAACGCGAAGAACCUUACCAGGUCUUGACAUCCCGAUGCUAUUUCUAGAGAUAGAAAGUUACUUCGGUACAUCGGUGACAGGUGGUGCAUGGUUGUCGUCAGCUCGUGUCGUGAGAUGUUGGGUUAAGUCCCGCAACGAGCGCAACCCCUAUUGUUAGUUGCCAUCAUUCAGUUGGGCACUCUAGCGAGACUGCCGGUAAUAAACCGGAGGAAGGUGGGGAUGACGUCAAAUCAUCAUGCCCCUUAUGACCUGGGCUACACACGUGCUACAAUGGUUGGUACAACGAGUUGCGAGUCGGUGACGGCAAGCUAAUCUCUUAAAGCCAAUCUCAGUUCGGAUUGUAGGCUGCAACUCGCCUACAUGAAGUCGGAAUCGCUAGUAAUCGCGGAUCAGCACGCCGCGGUGAAUACGUUCCCGGGCCU
rnacentral:rRNA from 1 species